AUACGUAGGGGGCGAGCGUUGUCCGGAUUUAUUGGGCGUAAAGGGUGCGUAGGCGGCCUUGUAAGUCAGAUGUGAAAGAUCAUGGCUUAACUGUGGUAAGCAUUUGAAACUGCAGGGCUUGAGUACAGGAGAGGAGAGUGGAAUUCCUAGUGUAGCGGUGAAAUGCGUAGAUAUUAGGAGGAAUACCAGUGGCGAAGGCGACUCUCUGGACUGAUACUGACGCUGAGGCACGAAAGCGUGGGGAGCAAACAGGAUUAGAUACCCUGGUAGUCCACGCCAUAAACGAUGAGUGCUAGGUGUCGGGGGUCAAACCUCGGUGCCGCAGUUAACACAUUAAGCACUCCGCCUGGGGAGUACGGUCGCAAGACUGAAACUCAAAUGAAUUGACGGGG
rnacentral:rRNA from 1 species